GUCCUCAGCACCCUGCCCCCUUCCUCCGCCUCCUCCUCAUCCCCAUCCUCAGCACCCCACUCCUAUUUGAUUCCAAGCCAUUUCUCCAUUGCUGGGCCCCACUUGUCCAUCCCCCCACUCCCCCAGUCCAUUCCCAGGGUGUGAGGUUCCUCAUCUUCAAUCUCUGCUACCCACAAACCUGCCAGGUUCCCCUUUUCAGCCACCGUGGAGUUCUCCAACCCGCCGACACCCAUCCACUCUGAGCUUUCUAAAGCCCACAUUCCACCAAUACAUCUUGGUAACCCCACCCUCCUCUAUCUCUAAUCCCCCUAUUGCCUUCCCUUGGGUCGGACACCCCAAGCCACAGUCAGGCCCCCACAUACAUCCCAGUCACUCAUUCACAUGCUGAGCUAGUUCUUCAGGGACCCCCACAGCCCACCAAACUUCUCCAUCCAUGAGCCCCAUGGACCUGUGGCCGGGAAGAAAUAUGUUAUGAGGUUGAGAAAUGCCCACCACCAGCCUUUCAGGUGCGACAAGGAAGGAGCCAGACUCGCUGCUGGCCCAUUGAAGGUAUCCACACUCCCAAGGACUAUCCCAGGAACCGUGUACAAUGCAGGCUUCUCUGAGAUAGCACAGAGACAAUGG